rnacentral:sRNA from 1 species
AAUGGCGGCCUACCUGCAGUGGCGGCGCUUCGUUUUCUUCGACAAGGAGCUGGUGAAGGAGCCGCUGAGCAAUGAUGGGGCCGCUCCCGGGGCCACACCUGCUUCUGGAUCCGCUGCUUCCAAAUUCCUUUGCCUCCCUCCUGGCAUCACUGUCUGCGACUCAGGCCGAGGGAGCCUGGUCUUUGGAGAUAUGGAAGGCCAGAUCUGGUUCUUGCCACGUUCCCUACAGCUUACAGGCUUCCAAGCCUACAAACUACGGGUGACACACCUGUACCAACUGAAGCAGCACAAUAUUCUGGCAUCUGUUGGAGAAGAUGAAGAGGGCAUCAACCCCUUGGUUUCACAGAUGGCAGUGUUACAUUGAACAAAGGAGACAUCACCCGGGACCGGCAUAGCAAGACCCAGAUUUUGCACAAGGGCAACUAUCCUGUAACUGGAUUGGCCUUUCGCCAAGCAGGAAAGACCACUCACUUGUUUGUUGUGACAACAGAGAACGUCCAGUCCUAUAUAGUUUCUGGAAAAGACUACCCUCGCGUGGAGUUGGACACCCAUGGUUGUGGCCUGCGCUGCUCAGCCCUAAGUGACCCUUCUCAGGACCUGCAGUUCAUUGUGGCCGGGGAUGAGUGUGUCUACUUGUACCAGCCUGAUGAACGUGGGCCCUGCUUCGCCUUUGAGGGCCAUAAGCUCAUUGCCCACUGGUUUAGAGGCUACCUUAUCAUUGUCUCCCGUGACCGGAAGGUUUCUCCCAAGUCAGAGUUUACCAGCAGGGAUUCACAGAGCUCCGACAAGCAGAUUCUAAACAUCUAUGACCUGUGCAACAAGUUCAUAGCCUAUAGCACCGUCUUUGAGGAUGUAGUGGAUGUGCUUGCUGAGUGGGGCUCCCUGUACGUGCUGACGCGGGAUGGGCGGGUCCACGCACUGCAGGAGAAGGACACACAGACCAAACUGGAGAUGCUGUUUAAGAAGAACCUAUUUGAGAUGGCGAUUAACCUUGCCAAGAGCCAGCAUCUGGACAGUGAUGGGCUGGCCCAGAUUUUCAUGCAGUAUGGAGACCAUCUCUACAGCAAGGGCAACCACGAUGGGGCUGUCCAGCAAUAUAUCCGAACCAUUGGAAAGUUGGAGCCAUCCUACGUGAUCCGCAAGUUUCUGGAUGCCCAGCGCAUUCACAACCUGACUGCCUACCUGCAGACCCUGCACCGACAAUCCCUGGCCAAUGCCGACCAUACCACCCUGCUCCUCAACUGCUAUACCAAGCUCAAGGACAGCUCGAAGCUGGAGGAGUUCAUCAAGACAAAGAGUGAGAGUGAAGUCCACUUUGAUGUGGAGACAGCCAUCAAGGUCCUCCGGCAGGCUGGCUACUACUCUCAUGCCCUGUAUCUGGCGGAGAACCAUGCACAUCAUGAGUGGUACCUGAAGAUCCAGCUAGAAGACAUUAAGAAUUAUCAGGAAGCCCUUCGAUACAUCGGCAAGCUGCCUUUUGAGCAGGCAGAGAGCAACAUGAAGCGCUACGGCAAGAUCCUCAUGCACCACAUACCAGAGCAGACAACUCAGUUGCUGAAGGGACUUUGUACUGAUUAUCGGCCCAGCCUCGAAGGCCGCAGCGAUAGGGAGGCCCCAGGCUGCAGGGCCAACUCUGAGGAGUUCAUCCCCAUCUUUGCCAAUAACCCGCGAGAGCUGAAAGCCUUCCUAGAGCACAUGAGUGAAGUGCAGCCAGACUCACCCCAGGGGAUCUACGACACACUCCUUGAGCUGCGACUGCAGAACUGGGCCCACGAGAAGGAUCCACAGGUGAGGCCUGGCCAGGGCUUCAGGAGAAAAGACAGUUCGUGCCGUCUCCAUUCUUCCGUCUUGGUGGCUGCCUUUCACUGCAUUCCUUAGACCAGUAACAACUUACCUCGGGGCUCAGUGGUCCUCUGUGAAGAGGGAAUGGACUGAGGGAAAGAGUUGACUGGCUUUGUCCCAAGAGACCUUGUGAUUUUCCCCUUUUGUCCAGCAGCUCUGCCCUCCUUCCUCUCCAGGUCAAAGAGAAGCUUCACGCAGAGGCCAUUUCCCUGCUGAAGAGUGGUCGCUUCUGCGACGUCUUUGACAAGGCCCUGGUCCUGUGCCAGAUGCAUGACUUCCAGGAUGGUGUCCUUUACCUUUAUGAGCAGGGGAAGCUGUAAGAGUUUGGGGAAUUUCAGGGAAAGGGGAAGAAUCCAAGUCAUUUUCCAGAGACAGCCACUGAGGUGUGCCCUUGCCCCGGCCGCAGGUUCCAGCAGAUCAUGCACUACCACAUGCAGCACGAGCAGUACCGGCAGGUCAUCAGCGUGUGUGAGCGCCAUGGGGAGCAGGACCCCUCCUUGUGGGAGCAGGCCCUCAGCUACUUCGCUCGCAAGGAGGAGGACUGCAAGGAGUAUGUGGCAGCUGUCCUCAAGCAUAUCGAGAACAAGAACCUCAUGCCACCUCUUCUAGUGGUGCAGACCCUGGCCCACAACUCCACAGCCACACUCUCCGUCAUCAGGGACUACCUGGUCCAAAAACUACAGAAACAGAGCCAGCAGAUUGCACAGGAUGAGCUGCGGGUGCGGCGGUACCGAGAGGAGACCACCCGUAUCCGCCAGGAGAUCCAAGAGCUCAAGGCCAGUCCUAAGAUUUUCCAAAAGACCAAGUGCAGCAUCUGUAACAGUGCCUUGGAGUUGCCCUCAGUCCACUUCCUGUGUGGCCACUCCUUCCACCAACACUGCUUUGAGAGUUACUCGGAAAGUGAUGCUGACUGCCCCACCUGCCUCCCUGAAAACCGGAAGGUCAUGGAUAUGAUCCGGGCCCAGGAACAGAAACGAGAUCUCCAUGAUCAAUUCCAGCAUCAGCUCAAGUGCUCCAAUGACAGCUUUUCUGUGAUUGCUGACUACUUUGGCAGAGGUGUUUUCAACAAAUUGACUCUGCUGACCGACCCUCCCACAGCCAGACUGACCUCCAGCCUGGAGGCUGGGCUGCAACGCGACCUACUCAUGCACUCCAGGAGGGGCACUUAAGCAGCCUGGAGGAAGAUGUGGGCAACAGUGGAGGACCGAGAGAACAGACACAAUGGGACCUGGGCGGGCGUUACACAGAAGGCUGGCUGACAUGCCCAGGGCUCCACUCUCAUCUAAUGUCACAGCCCUCAGAACUAAAGCGGACUUUCUUUCCCUGCCUUCUUAUUUAGUCAGCUUGCCAUCCCUCCUCUUCACUAGCAGUGUAGAUCAUUCCAGAUCAGUGGGGGAGGGCACCUCAGCAACCUCUGAGUGUGGACAAUAGCUGCUUUCUUCUCUAUCCAAGAGCACCAGGCUGUGCUUGGGUCCUUGCUCUCAGAGUCUAUAAAUAAAAGAAUAUAAUG